rnacentral:rRNA from 1 species
CACGUAGGGCGCAAGCGUUGUCCGGAAUUAUUGGGCGUAAAGAGCUCGUAGGCGGUCUGUUGCGUCCGCUGUGAAAACUCGGGGCUUAACCCCGAGCCUGCAGUGGAUACGGGCAGACUAGAGGUAGGUAGGGGAGAAUGGAAUUCCCGGUGUAGCGGUGAAAUGCGCAGAUAUCGGGAGGAACACCGGUGGCGAAGGCGGUUCUCUGGGCAUGUCCUGACGCUGAGGCGCGAAGGCUAGGGGAGCGAACGGG